rnacentral:rRNA from 1 species
AGAGUUUGAUCAUGGCUCAGAUUGAACGCUGGCGGCAGGCCUAACACAUGCAAGUCGAGCGGUAGCACAGAGAGCUUGCUCUCGGGUGACGAGCGGCGGACGGGUGAGUAAUGUCUGGGAAACUGCCUGAUGGAGGGGGAUAACUACUGGAAACGGUAGCUAAUACCGCAUAACGUCGCAAGACCAAAGUGGGGGACCUUCGGGCCUCAUGCCAUCAGAUGUGCCCAGAUGGGAUUAGCUAGUAGGUGGGGUAACGGCUCACCUAGGCGACGAUCCCUAGCUGGUCUGAGAGGAUGACCAGCCACACUGGAACUGAGACACGGUCCAGACUCCUACGGGAGGCAGCAGUGGGGAAUAUUGCACAAUGGGCGCAAGCCUGAUGCAGCCAUGCCGCGUGUGUGAAGAAGGCCUUCGGGUUGUAAAGCACUUUCAGCGGGGAGGAAGGCGNCGAUUGACGUUACCCGCAGAAGAAGCACCGGCUAACUCCGUGCCAGCAGCCGCGGUAAUACGGAGGGUGCAAGCGUUAAUCGGAAUUACUGGGCGUAAAGCGCACGCAGGCGGUCUGUCAAGUCGGAUGUGAAAUCCCCGGGCUCAACCUGGGAACUGCAUUCGAAACUGGCAGGCUAGAGUCUUGUAGAGGGGGGUAGAAUUCCAGGUGUAGCGGUGAAAUGCGUAGAGAUCUGGAGGAAUACCGGUGGCGAAGGCGGCCCCCUGGACAAAGACUGACGCUCAGGUGCGAAAGCGUGGGGAGCAAACAGGAUUAGAUACCCUGGUAGUCCACGCCGUAAACGAUGUCGAUUUGGAGGUUGUGCCCUUGAGGCGUGGCUUCCGGAGCUAACGCGUUAAAUCGACCGCCUGGGGAGUACGGCCGCAAGGUUAAAACUCAAAUGAAUUGACGGGGGCCCGCACAAGCGGUGGAGCAUGUGGUUUAAUUCGAUGCAACGCGAAGAACCUUACCUGGUCUUGACAUCCACAGAACUUUCCAGAGAUGGAUUGGUGCCUUCGGGAACUGUGAGACAGGUGCUGCAUGGCUGUCGUCAGCUCGUGUUGUGAAAUGUUGGGUUAAGUCCCGCAACGAGCGCAACCCUUAUCCUUUGUUGCCAGCGGUNNNGGCCGGGAACUCAAAGGAGACUGCCAGUGAUAAACUGGAGGAAGGUGGGGAUGACGUCAAGUCAUCAUGGCCCUUACGACCAGGGCUACACACGUGCUACAAUGGCAUAUACAAAGAGAAGCGACCUCGCGAGAGCAAGCGGACCUCAUAAAGUAUGUCGUAGUCCGGAUUGGAGUCUGCAACUCGACUCCAUGAAGUCGGAAUCGCUAGUAAUCGUAGAUCAGAAUGCUACGGUGAAUACGUUCCCGGGCCUUGUACACACCGCCCGUCACACCAUGGGAGUGGGUUGCAAAAGAAGUAGGUAGCUUAACCUUCGGGAGGGCGCUUACCACUUUGUGAUUCAUGACUGGGGUGAAGUCGUAACAAGGUAACCGUAGGGGAACCUGCGGUUGGAUCACCU